rnacentral:rRNA from 1 species
UACAGAGGUCCCAAGCGUUGUUCGGAUUCACUGGGCGUAAAGGGUGCGUAGGUGGCGAGGAAAGUUUGAUGUGAAAUCUCCGGGCUUAACCCGGAAACUGCAUUGAAAACUAUCUUGCUUGAGGGUUGGAGGGGGGACUGGAAUUCUCGGUGUAGCAGUGAAAUGCGUAGAUAUCGAGAGGAGCACCAGUGGCGAAGGCGAGUCCCUGGACAACACCUGACACUGAGGCACGAAAGCCGGGGGAGCAAAC